rnacentral:lncRNA from 1 species
AGAUUGCAUCAUGGCGCGGAUACCAGGAGGUGGGGAUCAUGGGGGUCCAUCCUAGAGGCUGACCCAAGCAGAGGAAAGGAGAUAAUUACUGGAACAAUGUCUCCCCAUAGGCAUGAGUAUAUGGAAUUUAGUGCAAAAGGAGAGGAAAUAGCCUUUGUUAGGGACACAGAGGGAUCUUUGAUAGUAAUAGUAUAUAGGUGCAGUUAGAGGAGGUAGGAAGAUCUUGUGGUGAGAGCUUGUACACAUUCUCAUCUAAUUUUUUCUCUGUUUCUCAGUGAAAAGGAAACAAGGUCAUAGGUCAAGAGUGAGGAUUGGGAAGAAGGUGUUUGUUAGAGGUUCAUCAGUAUUUCAAGUUUUUCAGUAUCUUUUAAGUGAUGCAGUGCUCAUUGCCACUAACCCUUGUUUGGUCAUAUUAUAAAGGAGGAAAAAAAGCUGUAGUUUUGAUCACUGUUCUAUUGUAAUAAGCACAGCCUGAGCUUUAGUAAAGUGAAAAAACCCCAACUCUGUGUGUAUAUUUUUUUUCAUUUUAAGGACAGUAAUUUUUUCUUUUUGAUUUCAAGUACUUUCUAUGUUUACAGCAUAGAAAGUUUUAUGCUAUAAGCAUCUUUUGGUAAAAUUAGACUACUUUGUCACUUCUGCUUAUGGAAUAGAGUAAAAUACAGAUAAUAACAUUUGCUUAAAGGAGACAUUUAAAAAAUAAGAUGUGGUUUGUCUUAGCCCAAUCAGCCUAAAACCACCAGGGACAACCUGUAAACAAACCAAUUGAGUUUACUGACUCAUUGCAGUGUGGGGACUGCACAACAGAGCAAUUGUGGGGUAUCUCAUCAAACAAAGGAAAAUAUAGGGUUAACAUAAGAUUUUGCUAAAGAGUGGAAUUUAGGUGUGAUGUAAAUGAAAUGAUAUUCUAUGGGCUCUAAGAAAGUAUGGUUGUGUAUAAAAGGGGUCAACCUCAGCUCUGUACUGUGAAAUGGACCUAUGGUUCUUGUCUUAGUCCAUUUUGUGUUGCUCUAGAGGAACAUCUGAGGCUGCGCAAUCUCUAAGGAAAAGAGGUUUAUUUGGCUCACUGCUCUGUGGGCUGUACAAGAAGCAUGGCACCAGCAUCUGCUCCUGGUGAGAGGCUCAGGCUGCUUCCACUCAUGGCAGAAGCUUGCUCUGGCUAACAACCACUAUCAUCAAAGUUGUCUGAGGAAGACCUCCUGUUGCUGUGACUGACGGGACUCUUGGUGGAAGCCCUAUUCCCAUGUGCCCAUGGCUGCAGCUCCCCAAGGAAGCAGGACAUUGUUGGAUUCUCUAAGAAGCUCAGAGGAAGUUACUUCUCACUGUGGUGCCAUAUGGGAUUUGAAGUCGUUCUACUCAUGCUCUGUUUUUCAAUAAAGCUGCUUCUGCCUCUGU